AAAAAAUUAGUUAAAUUAUAACCUUAGUUUGUCAAACUAAAAUUACUAUAAAUUAGUAUUUUUUA
rnacentral:tRNA from 1 species